GCGCGAAAACUUUACAAUGCUGGCAACAGCGAUAAGGGGACCUCGAGUGCCAGGUUACAAAUCUGGCUGUCGUGAUGCCUAAAAAGCAUUGCAUAGCAAGGGCCGGGCAGGACCGGUGCCAGCCGCCGCGGUAACACCGGCGGCUCGAGUGGUAACCGUUAUUAUUGGGUCUAAAGGGUCUGUAGCCGGCCGGAUAAGUCUCUUGGGAAAUCUGGCAGCUUAACUGUCAGGCUUUCAGGAGAUACUGUUCGGCUCGAGGCCGGGAGAGGUGAGAGGUACUUCAGGGGUAGGGGUGAAAUCUUGUAAUCCUUGAAGGACCACCAGUGGCGAAGGCGUCUCACCAGAACGGACCUGACGGCAAGGGACGAAAGCUAGGGGCACGAACC
rnacentral:rRNA from 1 species